rnacentral:rRNA from 1 species
UAGGGAAUCUUCGGCAAUGGACGAAAGUCUGACCGAGCAACGCCGCGUGAGUGAAGAAGGUUUUCGGAUCGUAAAACUCUGUUGUUAGAGAAGAACAAGGACGUUAGUAACUGAACGUCACCUGACGGUAUCUAACCAGAAAGCCACGGCUAACUACGUGCCAGCAGCCGCGGUAAUACGUAGGUGGCAAGCGUUGUCCGGAUUUAUUGGGCGUAAAGCGAGCGCAGGCGGUUUCUUAAGUCGGAUGUGAAAGCCCCCGGCUCAACCGGGGAGGGUCAUUGGAAACUGGGAGACUUGAGUGCAGAAGAGGAGGGUGGAAUUCCAUGUGUAGCGGUGAAAUGCGUAGAUAUAUGGAGGAACACCAGUGGCGAAGGCGGCUCUCUGGUCUGUAACUGACGCUGAGGCUCGAAAGCGUGGGGAGCAAACAGG